AGGUGGCUUGUGACAACUUGGGUUGAGUUUCACUUCGAUAAAACUUGGCUGUUUUCUCGACUUUCGUUUACAGUGUUGGGUAGUAUUUCUAUUGCCAUUUUGGUGGAAGAAGACAAACAAUCAAUGCGUGAAGAGAUCCGGAUGUUGAAAUCUCAACAAGGUCCAUCUGGUAAUCCUCAGCAUACCAGUACAGAAGCUGAGUCGCGGUUUGAAAGCCUUCUCCAAAGAUAUUUACCAUCACAACC